rnacentral:lncRNA from 10 species
GUCUGGCAAUAAAUUUAACUUGGCUCUGUCUCCAGGCAAUCCAGGGUUAAACUGUCUCCUAGGGCACACAAUUUCAGUCCCUAGGGAAAGUAUGAAAAACCUUCUCUUCUUGUUCAGAAGCUCAAUUGAGUGUCUCCAUUUUAUUUCAUAAAUGAGAUCUGAUUUGUCUCCUAACAUGUAUUUUUACUUACUCAAGAGUGUGUCUAAGUUCUUUUCUUUCUCUCCUGAGCUGGUUUUGGGUUGUUUGCCUAUUCAUAGAAGGAAACAGUGAGGGAGAAAGCAGCUAGAACUCUGAUGAAUGGUUUACUUCUUGUUAGCAACCCAAGUUAAACAUUUAAUGAUGGAAGCGGGUAUGGGCUGAAAUGCCAUUUGGGGGUAAAUGCCUGGCUUCAUUUUUUCAUGCUCUCUUUACCACUACUCGCCCCAGCCCCUCACACCCUGUAUAAUGUCUGAGCAGGUUUUCUGCAUAGUUGCCAGUGCUUAUUUUUACAAUCUCUAACAUAACAGCUUCAAAUAUAAACACAAACAUAGCCAGCAUGAACGACAGCAUCUGCAUUGGCCACGGAGCUAAAACAGGCUCUUAGAAAUGUGCUUGACAUUUCCCGUGGCAGCUUCACAGCCUCCUUGGAAAGCCUUGGUCCACCUCUCUGCUGCUGACAAGCUCUGAUUUGGGUAAGAUGCUGGCAGGUGCCAGCAAAGGACAAUAGGCUUUUAAUUAAGGUCUGUAGAGCCAUAGCUCAGGAAACACACCUCCUGAAGAGUUUUUUUUUUUUUUUUUUUUUUUUUUAAAAACACUUGCGUUUCUUCUUGCUACCCUACGAACAGUAACUGUGUGCUCCAUCGAGGCAACUGUGGUCGUUAAUCUUCCGUAGCACAGGAAUUGCUAGUAACAUAAAGGUAGUAAUGGGAUUAUGUUUUCUUUUCUUUUUUUUUUUUGCAAUAGCUUAGAAAAUUAAUGUUAACUUCUGUUCCUAGUUUGGGGCAGUUUUUACUAUGAUGAAGCUGAAUGUGAUCAUACAACUCCAUCUUUCCAUCCAAACUCCCUCCAUGCAAAUUUCUUAUUAUAUCUGACACAGAAUUAAUGUAAACAUUUUUGUAAUGGCCAUAUUUUGAGUCACUCACUUAGAGGAAGGUUUUCUAAUGUGGAAUCUGAGCCUGUUAAGCAUCGUUGCUAUGGAGACUAUGAGAGUUGGAUUAAUUAAGGCUUGAACAGAUGUGAAGUGUGCAGAAUGCACUAUUUUCUGUUAGUAAUUAAAGAGGGUAUGUGUGUACGUGAGAGAGAAAGAAAAAUAGAGACAAUCCGAGACAAAGCAGUCAGACGUGCUUGGCACCGGACAUGUGACAUUUUCUUCAGUAGAACUAACUGCUGAUAACUCUG